rfam:Methylocystis sp. strain SC2 plasmid 1.
UGUCAAGAGUCGGCGCCGUUUCGGCGAGCAGAUUUCUUUUGCCUGAACGAGGCAAAAGCAUAUG